rnacentral:tRNA from 1 species
GCCCAAGUAGCUCAACGGUAGAGCACAGCUUUCGUAAAGCUGGGGUUAAGGGUUCGAUUCCCUUCUUGGGCU